AGACCCGAAACCCGGUGAUCUAGCCAUGGGCAGGUUGAAGGUUGGGUAACACUAACUGGAGGACCGAACCGACUAAUGUUGAAAAAUUAGCGGAUGACCUGUGGCUGGGGGUGAAAGGCCAAUCAAACCGGGAGAUAGCUGGUUCUCCCCGAAAGCUAUUUAGGUAGCGCCUCGUGAAUUCAUCUCCGGGGGUAGAGCACUGUUUCGGCUAGGGGGCCAUCCCGGCUUACCAACCCGAUGCAAACUGCGAAUACCGGAGAAUGUUAUCACGGGAGACACACGGCGGGUGCUAACGUCCGUCGUGAAGAGGGAAACAACCCAGACCGCCAGCUAAGGUCCCAAAGUCAUGGUUAAGUGGGAAACGAUGUGGGAAGGCCCAGACAGCCAGGAUGUUGGCUUAGAAGCAGCCAUCAUUUAAAGAAAGCGUAAUAGCUCACUGGUCGAGUCGGCCUGCGCGGAAGAUGUAACGGGGCUAAACCAUGCACCGAAGCUGCGGCAGCGACGCUGAUGCGUUGUUGGGUAGGGGAGCGUUCUGUAAGCCUGCGAAGGUGGCCUGUGAGGGUUGCUGGAGGUAUCAGAAGUGCGAAUGCUGACAUAAGUAACGAUAAAGCGGGUGAAAAGCCCGCUCGCCGGAAGACCAAGGGUUCCUGUCCAACGUUAAUCGGGGCAGGGUGAGUCGACCCCUAAGGCGAGGCCGAAAGGCGUAGUCGAUGGGAAACGGGUUAAUAUUCCCGUACUUGGUGUUACUGCGAAGGGGGGACGGAGAAGGCUAUGUUGGCCGGGCGACGGUUGUCCCGGUUUAAGCGUGUAGGUGUGUGUUCCAGGUAAAUCCGGUUCACUUUAACACUGAGGCGUGAUGACGAGGCACUACGGUGCUGAAGCAACAAAUGCCCUGCUUCCAGGAAAAGCCUCUAAGCAUCAGGUAACAUCAAAUCGUACCCCAAACCGACACAGGUGGUCAGGUAGAGAAUACCAAGGCGCUUGAGAGAACUCGGGUGAAGGAACUAGGCAAAAUGGUGCCGUAACUUCGGGAGAAGGCACGCUGACACGUAGGUGAAGUGAUUUACUCAUGGAGCUGAAGUCAGUCGAAGAUACCAGCUGGCUGCAACUGUUUAUUAAAAACACAGCACUGUGCAAACACGAAAGUGGACGUAUACGGUGUGACGCCUGCCCGGUGCCGGAAGGUUAAUUGAUGGGGUCAGCGCAAGCGAAGCUCCUGAUCGAAGCCCCGGUAAACGGCGGCCGUAACUAUAACGGUCCUAAGGUAGCGAAAUUCCUUGUCGGGUAAGUUCCGACCUGCACGAAUGGCGUAAUGAUGGCCAGGCUGUCUCCACCCGAGACUCAGUGAAAUUGAACUCGCUGUGAAGAUGCAGUGUACCCGCGGCAAGACGGAAAGACCCCGUGAACCUUUACUAUAGCUUGACACUGAACAUUGAGCCUUGAUGUGUAGGAUAGGUG
rnacentral:rRNA from 1 species